UCCGGCUUAUCACCGGCGGUUUCCUUAGAGUGCCCAACUAAAUGAUGGCAACUAAGGACGAGGGUUGCGCUCGUUGCGGGACUUAACCCAACAUCUCACGACGCGAGCUGACGACAGCCAUGCAGCACCUGUCUCUCGGUUCCCGAAGGCACCCCGGUAUCUCUACCAGGUUCCGAGGAUGUCAAGAGUAGGUAAGGUUCUUCGCGUUGCGUCGAAUUAAACCACAUGCUCCACCGCUUGUGCGGGCCCCCGUCAAUUCCUUCGAGUUUUAGCCUUGCGGCCGUACUCCCCAGGCGGAGAACUUAACGCGUUAGCUUCGCUACUAAGAACCCUUAGGUUCCCAACAGCCAGUUGACAUAGUUUAGGGCGUGGACUAC
rnacentral:misc_RNA from 1 species